CUGGGGCAAUGGGUUAAUUUACUUUGCAAAUGUGUUCAUAUGUUUUUCAGAUCGACAGUACACCUUUUUUACCUCUCCAUUUGUACCAAGAAAUAUUGCAAAGGAUAUCUGUGGAUUAAGCGGAUCUUAUCUUCUAGAAAUUAAUUCACAGGCUGAGUGGGAUUUACUUCUGAUACAUGCUCCAACGGGGUUAUUUUACACUGGGGCCACAGAUGAAGAAGACAGAGGGGUGUUUAAAUGGGAGACGGCAGGUCAAAGAAUGACGUUCUUAUAUACAAGCUUGUACACAAAUAACCGAACCAUCGACUGUAUUGUGUUGGGCAAAUACAACAGUUUGAUGUCCCUGCUCACAUUUGAGUGUACCAUACAAAUACCGUUUGCCUGUGAAAAGGAAAUAUAGUCAACAACAGUAAACAAAGAAAAAAGAGAGUUAUCAGGUUUUUUAAUACGAUUGCAAUUUGAUGAUGUUCAAUAUUCAUGUUAACAUCCAAAUAAACA